AUUGAACGCUGGCGGCAGACCUAACACAUGCAAGUCGAACGAGUGGCGGACGGGUGAGUAAUGUAUGGGAACGUGCCCGAUGGAGGGGGAUAACUACUGGAAACGGUAGCUAAUACCGCAUACCAUCGGAUGUGCCCAGAUGGGAUUAGCUAGUUGGUGGGGUAAAGGCUGACCAAGGCGACGAUCCCUAGCUGGUCUGAGAGGAUGACCAGCAACACUGGAACUGAGACACGGUCCAGACUCCGACGGGAGGCAGCAGUGGGGAAUAUGGGACAAUGGGCGAAAGCCUGAUCCAGCCAUGCCGCGUGUAUGAAGAAGGCCUUCGGGUUGUAAAGUACUUUAAGCGGGGAGGCGUUACUAGCAGAAGAAGCACCGGCUAACUCCGUGCCAGCAGCCGCGGUAAUUC
rnacentral:rRNA from 1 species